UUCAUCGCCCUGAUGACGGAGGCAGUGUGGCCUCUGGUUAAUAACGACCAGACUACACAGCGCAACAACCCAGAAGACGGAAAUCUUCAUACUCACCGCUGUGAGAACCUCAAGUCUUACACAGUCAUAUGUGUCUAUGAAUUUUUCUGCUUACAGAUUGAAGCUUUCACUUCUGCCAAAGAUAAAAACUUAGGCUCCAAUCAUGAUUUGGAUCUCAUGUCAGACUGCAGGUAUUUGUGCUGACCAUCAUUCUCAUGAUCGCCCUAUCAGUCGGAGUAUUGGAAUUUGCUGUAUGGUGUUCUCACCUCAGAAAUAGAUUCUGCCCCCUUGCAUAGGUCGGCACAUGCCAGGAUGGUCAUCGUACCUGGAGGCAUCACAUACAGAGGAAGAAAGAAACAAAUAAUCUUCUCCACUUGCAGAUGGAAGUUGCUAGAUGGAAAGCAGGAGGCAGAGUGAAGGCUGAUUUUGCAUUGUUCCCAUCUACAGAAAUGACCAAGGCACUUCACGAAAGUAAACCUGAAGUGAUUGGACAUCUUACAAUUCCUGUUACUGACAAUCAAUCGGCCAGCGCUUCUAUUGUACCCCUUAUCUUGAACCCUGAAGCAUCGAUGAUGUUACAGAGGAAACUAUUGCAGAUGUUUUAUAAAUUAAGCAUUUGCAAGACAUCAGCAGAAAACUAGAAUUGUCACACAAAUUGGUUGUAUUUAUUCAGUUUAUUUCAUAUGAUGACAAAUUUUAGUUUUUGGUUUACCUACACUUGUGUGAGCUACAUAUUGUUUAUGUAGUUCGGCUUGUGAGUCAUUAUUAGGAGGUUAUGUUGUUUACCAAACAGUAAAGUUGCAAAUCUACAAAAAAAUUUGUUUUAAAGGAGUGGCAGAAACUAUUUACAUUGUCAGAAAGAAAAAUUGUAGUUGUGUGGUCAUUUUUGCUUAUUCAUCUUCAAGAUUUCAAAAUUGCAUUUUUGUAGAUCCACAAUUUUCUCUUUGGAUUGACUCAUUAUAAUAAAUUGUUAAAUUGUCUUGUAAUUUUUAUGUUAAAAGCAUUUUUACGUAUUGUAGUAAGACUUGCCAUCUUAAACUUUCUUUCUUUUGUACAAGUUUCAUAUUUGUGGACUGGGAUCGCUCGACUUUUUCAGAAUUUUUUUAUUCUAUAUGUGCACAUUGUGGUGUUCCACGCGACAUCCGCUUAUGAUAUUUAAAAGUAGGUGAACAAUGUACAGGAAGAUGGAGCAGAUAACGGAUAAGAACAACAUUUCAUUUGCAGCAAAAUAAUCCAUUUUCUUUGGGAUCAUUUUUCGUACCUUUUGCGGUGAAGUUUCAUAGAUAAUAUUAAACAUAAUAUUAGUCAUAUUACUACGGGUGUUUUGAAAGUUGUUUAUACAGUUUGUAAGUUAGGACCUUAGCUCAAUUUUACAGGCAAUAUAGGCUGAUAUUUUACAAAGGAAAGCUGGAAAUGGGACACAUUGAAUUCAUAACAAAGUACUGGUACUCUUCCUAACAUAUUUGUAUUGGAAACAUCAAACACAAACCUGCAUUAGAAACAAAACUAUUUUGAUUUCCCUCGUGCUCCAGAUUAUGAAAUUCUUGCCGUAUAUUCAUUUCUGUUUUACAUUCAAAGUUUAUAAUUUUGGAUGAGUUGCGUAUCUGUAACUGGCACUCCGUUAUGUUUUGAACAUAACUUCUUUCAUUCAUUAGGUGAUCACUUUCUGUUGUGUAUAUGGUUGCCUUUGCCUUGGUUCUUCACUCUCAUGAACAUGGCAAAAUAUUUGUUUAUAUUGGUAACACUGUAUUUUUGCAGUACAUCAUUUUGUAAAGUUAGAAAAUGGUUUGAAAAAUAGUAAAUGAUUCAGUUACUGAAUUUCAUAUGGUUUUUCUAGUCCAGUACUCUAUAUUAUU